UACGUAGGGUGCAAGCGUUGUCCGGAAUUAUUGGGCGUAAAGAGCUCGUAGGCGGUUUGUCGCGUCGGCUGUGAAAACUGGAGGCUUAACCUUCAGCGUGCAGUCGAUACGGGCAGACUUGAGUUCGGUAGGGGAGACUGGAAUUCCUGGUGUAGCGGUGAAAUGCGCAGAUAUCAGGAGGAACACCGGUGGCGAAGGCGGGUCUCUGGGCAUUAACUGACGCUGAGGAGCGAAAGCGUGGGGAGCGAACAGG
rnacentral:rRNA from 1 species